rnacentral:ncRNA from 1 species
CGAGCCCUGCGGCAGCCGAACCCUCUAGUUUAUAUUAGGGGCAUUUAUGUAGGCGGUCGCGGGCCUCA